UAUUGUUUCUGCUGCCCGG
rnacentral:miRNA from 1 species